UACGUAGGGCGCAAGCGUUGUCCGGAAUUAUUGGGCGUAAAGAGCUCGUAGGCGGUUUGUCGCGUCUGCUGUGAAAACCUAAGGCUCAACCUUGGGCUUGCAGUGGGUACGGGCAGACUAGAGUGCGGUAGGGGGUGACUGGAAUUCCUGGUGUAGCGGUGAAAUGCGCAGAUAUCAGGAGGAACACCAAUGGCGAAGGCAGAUCUCUGGGCCGUAACUGACGCU
rnacentral:rRNA from 1 species